ACCUCAGGUUUUGAUUUCUAUCAUCCAGAAAAUAGUUUUCCAAUUCCUCGAGAGAAACUCCUCAUUCACUGCGACACAUGCAUGUCAGUUCGAGUGAGACAUGAAAAGGGGAACCCGACGAAGUAGAAAGGGAUGAAAACUUACUUGCUUUUCAUACGCCAAUGUCGCAUAUAGCACAGCUUCAAAAACUGACAGCAUCACAGCGUCUUUCGAUCGUGACUCUUCUUCUCCUUUCUUCCUCUAACCUUUGGCUUUCGGGAUGCUUCUCUU
rnacentral:lncRNA from 1 species